UGCAGAGGCCACAGAACACGUCUACCCGUGAGGUACGAGUGAGGACGCGUUUCUGAAGCUCAGAAAGCGGCCGGGCCAAAAGGUGAGGUGGCAGAUGCAGUGGAAAGCUGCCGCCACAUCCGGUCACGGCUGCUGGGGCUGAACCGGCAGCCUGAGCGCCGAAGACGAGAGCGAGGCUGCUCAAAGACUCGGAGCUCACCGUGAGGCUGGCAGAGCCCCGACCGAGGCUGCAGAGGGGCGGGCUCUGGGGCAUGCCAGGCGCCAGCCGGGAAGGCUGCUGCGCUGCUAACUCCGUGUGCCCUGGGCCGUCUGCCCCCCUGCUCCACCUCAAACACCGGCCCCUAUCCCGUUAAAGUCUGGCCUCACCCCCGCCCUCACGGGGUCCCGGAGUGCUCGAAGUCCAGUUCCUGAGCGGCACUGAAGGCCGGACCAGAGAGGACAGGCCGGCACGGGCUCCCAUGUGGGGUGGGCACCAGCCAAGCCUUCAGGGCUACCUGAAGGUGGGACUGGGUGUGACCAGCAGAAGGCUGGAGUGACGGCGGGAGCUUGUUAGUACAGGGACAGGGAGGGCAUUCCGGCCAGCCAGGGUGAGCGACAAAUCCUACAAACCAGUCCCGUCAUGGGAGCCAAGUAGGGCUCGCAGCGGGUGCCCUGGGUGUUAAUACCCUACGUGAUCUCAUCUCAGUACAGGCUGUCGUACAACAGAGCACUCGGGCCCAACCCUGGACCUGCCAGGACCUGCCCUGCACCGAGGCCUCGAACUUGCACAGCAGGCCAGCGUCUCGUCUCGGUGGCUUACAGGACCUCUGCCACCUCGUGGGGGUGGGGUAGCCUGGCAUGCCUUCAAAGUUGUCCUCAGAGAGCAAGCCUGGCAAAACAGGAGAAAUCAUGUCUGAAUGUAAGCUGAUGCCCUAGAUGUAACUUCCAGACCUCAUUGACCGAAACACCAAGUUUUGUCCAGAACCGAGCCUAGACUGCAGGGGAGGCACCAGCUGGGACCCACUCCAGUUCCCGUGCCUCCCCAGGGACGGAGCCAGGAGGGGCCAGGAUCGGAAGGGCCAGCGGAGGGAGGGGGCAGGCCGAGGCCUGAGGCCUGACCUGGUCGGCACAGGGAAGGGGCUGCCCGUGGGGUACCCACCCUGGGUAGUGAGUAGGACUCUCUCCGCGUUGUUGGGCAGGCCCAGCCAGGAGGGCGUCUGCGUGUCGGGGAGCAGCUCCACCCACUGCACGAACUCCUCUCGCCUAGAAAAGCAGCACGUUGGGAAAUGCCACCCUGGGUGACGCCGGGGACUGCCGGGCACGGCUGGGGUCUGGACCACAGGAGGUAGGCUUGUACCUGAUGCCGUCGGGCAUUUGAAUGUCUUUGUGCCCGUCGACCUUGCAGGCCAGCUUAAAUUCACUAUCGAAACUCUUCGUCGUGAACAGACGCUCCAGGAAAGUGUUAAGCAGACGCUGAUCGAACUCGUUGUCCACCCGCCCGCCGUAGAUGGACUGGGCCAUCAAGGUCUUCAGAGCGGACCACGGGAUCUUGUCUGGCGAGAUGUUCUGCCUGCCCUGUGUGAGGAAAGCUGGGUUUGUGGGGCAGGUCGGAGGGGAACCGGCACACCAGGUCCCUCUGUUGGUGGGGUGAGUCCUUCCUCACACCCACAUCGAACACGACCCCCACCGUCGGCCACCACAGCCGUGCGCGCUCCCGAGCGUCCCCUCCCAUCUGACACGGCAGCCCGCACUUGCCUUUGCCGUGUCAUCCAGCCACGUGUCUACCGUGUCGCAGGCCGACCGCAGGUCAGACUCCCCAAAUUCAUACUUCUUUGACCACCCCAGGGGUGCGUAUCGUAAGCGUUCUUGGAUGAUGGCGUGGAACCAGGCCAGCAGGAAGUAUAAGCGAGCACGCUCAUUGGGAGACUGGGUGAGGAAGGUUAUCAAAGACGGAAUCCUUAGAAAGCAACAUCCUUUCCAAGAAAACAGUGCAGCUUCUCUAACAAAGUUUUAAGAAGAGCUUUUUGGGGGAGCCCAGGGGGCUCAGUCCAUUGAGCAUCCGACUUGGGCUCAGGUCGUGAUCUCGCAGUUUGUGGGUUCGAGCCCCACGUCGGGCUCUGUGCUGACAGCUCAGAGCCUGGAGCCUGCUUCCGAUUCUGUGUCUCCCUCUCUCUCUGCCCCUCCCCCGCUUGUGCUGUCUCUCUUUCAAAAAUAAAAAGAGCUUUUCACCCUGAA